rnacentral:tRNA from 1 species
UAGCUUAGUGGUAAGAGCAUUAGUGCGUAAAGCUAAAGGUCCCGGGUUCGGUUCCCGG